CCCUAAUUUCUGUGCUCCUCAUUCUCUAUAUAUAAUGUCCAUAACCUCCAAACCCUAACAUUCCACCGCCCAUUGCAAAGCUCUAUGUCCUAUAUUUCUUCCUUCUCUCGUUUUUCCUUUCGAAGCAUGAUCAUGUUAAUGUUUGUUUUUAUUUUUAUUUUAUUUAUCACGAUUGUUUUUUCCCUUCCCCAGUGCCUAUGAUGGUGUUAAAUAUACUCCGAGAUUUAUUUCAAUGAUAUCAAUCUUCAUCUGAGGCACUCA